rnacentral:sRNA from 1 species
GUCCCGGUUCUAAAGUCCCCAGUCACCCACCCGGACUCAGAUUCUCCCCAGACGCCGAGAUGCGGGUCAUGGCGCCCCGAACCCUCAUCCUGCUGCUCUCGGGAGCCCUGGCCCUGACCGAGACCUGGGCCGGUGAGUGCGGGGUCGGGAGGGAAACGGCCUCUGCGGAGAGGAGCGAGGGGCCCGCCCGGCGAGGGCGCAGGACCCGGGGAGCCGCCCCGGGAGGAGGGUCGGGCGGGUCUCAGCCCCUCCUCGCUCCCAGGCUCCCACUCCAUGAGGUAUUUCUACACCGCUGUGUCCCGGCCCGGCCGCGGAGAGCCCCACUUCAUCGCAGUGGGCUACGUGGACGACACGCAGUUCGUGCGGUUCGACAGCGACGCCGCGAGUCCAAGAGGGGAGCCGCGGGCGCCGUGGGUGGAGCAGGAGGGGCCGGAGUAUUGGCACCGGGAGACACAGAAGUACAAGCGCCAGGCACAGGCUGACCGAGUGAGCCUGCGGAACCUGCGCGGCUACUACAACCAGAGCGAGGACGGGUCUCACACUCUCCAGUCGAUGUAUGGCUGCGACCUGGGGCCCGACGGGCGCCUCCUCCGCGGGUAUGACCAGUACGCCUACGACGGCAAGGAUUACCUUGCCCUGAACGAGGACCUGCGCUCCUGGACCGCCGCGGACACGGCGGCUCAGAUCACCCAGCGCAAGUUGGAGGCGGCCCGUGCGGCGGAGCAGCUGAGAGCCUACCUGGAGGGCCUGUGCGUGGAGUGGCUCCGCAGAUACCUGGAGAACGGGAGGGAGACGCUGCAGCGCGCGGAACACCCAAAGACACACGUGACCCACCAUCCCGUCUCUGACCAUGAGGCCACCCUGAGGUGCUGGGCCCUGGGCUUCUACCCUGCGGAGAUCACACUGACCUGGCAGCGGGAUGGGGAGGACCAAACUCAGGACACCGAGCUUGUGGAGACCAGGCCAGCAGGAGAUGGAACCUUCCAGAAGUGGGCAGCUGUGGUGGUGCCUUCUGGAGAAGAGCAGAGAUACACAUGCCAUGUGCAGCACGAGGGGCUGCCGGAGCCCCUCAC